rnacentral:rRNA from 1 species
GACGAACGCUGGCGGCGUGCCUAAUACAUGCAAGUUGAGCGAUGAAGAUUGGUGCUUGCCCCAAUUUGAAGAGCAGCGAACGGGUGAGUAACGCGUGGGGAAUCUGCCUUUGAGCGGGGGACAACAUUUGGAAACGAAUGCUAAUACCGCAUAACAACUUUAAACAUAAGUUUUAAGUUUGAAAGAUGCAAUUGCAUCACUCAAAGAUGAUCCCGCGUUGUAUUAGCUAGUUGGUGAGGUAAAGGCUCACCAAGGCGAUGAUACAUGGCCGACCUGAGAGGGUGAUCGGCCACAUUGGGACUGAGACACGGCCCAAACUCCUACGGGAGGCAGCAGUAGGGAAUCUUCGGCAAUGGACGAAAGUCUGACCGAGCAACGCCGCGUGAGUGAAGAAGGUUUUCGGAUCGUAAAACUCUGUUGGUAGAGAAGAACGUUGGUGAGAGUGGAAAGCUCAUCAAGUGACGGUAACUACCCAGAAAGGGACGGCUAACUACGUG